rnacentral:lncRNA from 1 species
UGAGCUCCGUAAGGGCAGGAUCUGCAGUUUCAUCUUUCUAUCCUGGGCACUCAGUUCACUGCCUGAUACACAGUAAUAGAGGCACAAAUGUUUCAAAAGUUGAGGAAUUUUCAGCACUUCCUGAAAGAAUAGGAAGAUAUAAAGGCUUCUCAGAGAAGGUAUUAUUUAAGCUUUUCUUUUUCUUUUUCUUUUUUUUUUUUCAGAUGAUGUCUCACUCUGUCACCCAAGAUGGAGUGCAAUGGCACGAUCUCAGCUCACUGCAACCUCUGCCUCCCAGUAGAGACGGGGUUUCACCAUGUUGGGCAGGCUAG